CCUACGGGUGGCAGCAGUGGGGAAUAUUGGACAAUGGGGGCAACCCUGAUCCAGCCAUGCCGCGUGUGUGAAGAAGGCCCUCGGGUUGUAAAGCACUUUCAGUGAGGAAGAACGCCUGGUGGUUAAUACCCAUCAGGAAAGACAUCACCCACAGAAGAAGCACCGGCUAACUCCGUGCCAGCAGCCGCGGUAAUACGGAGGGUGCGAGCGUUAAUCGGAAUUACUGGGCGUAAAGCGCGCGUAGGUGGCUUGAUAAGCCGGUUGUGAAAGCCCCGGGCUCAACCUGGGAACGGCAUCCGGAACUGUCAAGCUAGAGUGCAGGAGAGGAAGGUAGAAUUCCCGGUGUAGCGGUGAAAUGCGUAGAGAUCGGGAGGAAUACCAGUGGCGAAGGCGGCCUUCUGGACUGACACUGACACUGAGGUGCGAAAGCGUGGGUAGCAAACAGGAUUAGAUACCCGUGUAGUC
rnacentral:rRNA from 1 species